rnacentral:rRNA from 1 species
GGGAUCAUUACCGAGUUUACAACUCCCAAACCCCUGUGAACAUACCUUAAUGUUGCCUCGGCGGAUCAGCCCGCGCCCCGUAAAACGGGACGGCCCGCCAGAGGACCCAAACUCUAAUGUUUCUUAUUGUAACUUCUGAGUAAAACAAACAAAUAAAUCAAAACUUUCAACAACGGAUCUCUUGGUUCUGGCAUCGAUGAAGAACGCAGCAAAAUGCGAUAAGUAAUGUGAAUUGCAGAAUUCAGUGAAUCAUCGAAUCUUUGAACGCACAUUGCGCCCGCUGGUAUUCCGGCGGGCAUGCCUGUUCGAGCGUCAUUUCAACCCUCAAGCCCCCGGGUUUGGUGUUGGGGAUCGGCUCUGCCUUCUGGCGGUGCCGCCCCCGAAAUACAUUGGCGGUCUCGCUGCAGCCUCCAUUGCGUAGUAGCUAACACCUCGCAACUGGAACGCGGCGCGGCCAUGCCGUAAAACCCCAACUUCUGAAUGUUGACCUCGGAUCAGGUAGGAAUACCCGCUGAACUUAAGCAUAUCAAA